CCAGACUCCUACGGGAGGCAGCAGUGGGGGAUAUUGCACAAUGGGGGGAACCCUGAUGCAGCGACGCCGCGUGGGUGAAGAAGCGCCUCGGCGCGUAAAGCCCUGUCAGCAGGGAAGAAAAUGACGGUACCUGAAGAAGAAGCCCCGGCUAACUACGUGCCAGCAGCCGCGGUAAUACGUAGGGGGCAAGCGUUAUCCGGAUUUACUGGGUGUAAAGGGGGCGCAGACGGCGAUGCAAGCCAGGAGUGAAAGCCCGGGCCCCAACCCCGGGACUGCUCUUGGAACUGCGUGGCUGGAGUGCGGGAGGGGCAGGCGGAAUUCCUGGUGUAGCGGUGAAAUGCGUAGAUAUCAGGAGGAACACCGGUGGCGAAGGCGGCCUGCUGGACUGCAACUGACGUUGAGGCCCGAAAGCGUGGGGAGCAAACAGGAUUAGAUACCCCUGUAACA
rnacentral:rRNA from 1 species